UUCAGUGUGGAUCGUUGACCCUGGAGUAUUACUAAUAUAGUAAAUAUUUCUUACUUAUGACGUGUAUAAAAUCCAGAUUUUGACGCGUUGUUCUGCUUAGUCAAUAACAGUAUUACCAUACGUAGAAUUGUCAUAAACUGACUGUUAUUGGAUACCUGAGGGUCAUAUGAGGGAAGGCUGGAAGACGAGAGGCUUCUCUGCAGUCGUAGUCGCUCAAACUAUCACAAAUUGAUUGUUUGAUUAGUUUGAAUAACGACAAUCAAGGCUGGUCAGGGUAUGCGGGCGCUGUCCUAUAGCGUAGAGGACUAAGCAGUUUGGAGAAGAGCCAGUGAACGUCGCAAUCUCGCUAUGAUCGGCUCCAAAGAUGGCGGCUCCAGCAAGAGUAACGUGUCGUCGUCGCCUUCCAAGCACCUGGGCAGGUCGUCCUCGGUGCCAACGGAGCGGCCGCCCCUUACCCACCAUCACCACCACCACUCCUCCCCCUCCCAGCCCUCCAAGCUCUCCUCCAGUACCUCCUCCCUCAACACCUCUCCCGCCCACCUAGUCAAAUCGGCCUCCACCUCCACCCUCACCUCCGCCACCAACACCUCCACUACCACCAGCUCCUCGUCGUCCACCUCCAACCUGACCAGCGGCGACCAUGGACGCACCCGAGUUACCGACAGCGCCAAGGACUCAACGCUCGAGAACGUCAAGGACGAAUAUUGCG